GACAAUCUUCAGGGCAGGGUGUAAUUCCCUACUGGCGGUAUAGCCCGCGAGCUUUAAAUAAAAAGCAGAUUCGGUGUAACUCCGAGGCCAACAGUAUAGUCUGGAUGAAAGAAGAUAUAU
rnacentral:ncRNA from 1 species